rnacentral:rRNA from 1 species
ACGUUGUACUCUCGGCUCAGGAUGAACGCUGCGGCGUGCUUACACAUGCAAGUCGAGCGAAGCAUUCUGGCUUUAAAUCUUCGGAGGCGAAGCAGUCUGACUGAGCGGCGGACGGGUGGAGUAACGCGUGGGCAACCUGCCUCAGUACAGGGGGAUAACAGUUAGAAAUGACUGCUAAUACCGCAUAAGACCGCGGUACCGCAUGGUACAGCGGUAAAAACUCCGGUGGUAUGAGAUGGGCCCGCGUCUGAUUAGCUAGUUGGCGGGGUAACGGCCCACCAAGGCGACGAUCAGUAGCCGACCUGAGAGGGUGACCGGCCACAUUGGGACUGAGACACGGCCCAAACUCCUACGGGAGGCAGCAGUGGGGAAUAUUGCACAAUGGGGGAAACCCUGAUGCAGCGACGCCGCGUGAGCGAUGAAGUAUUUCGGUAUGUAAAGCUCUAUCAGCAGGGAAGAAAAUGACGGUACCUGACUAGGAAGCCCCGGCUAACUACGUG